UACGAAGGGGGCUAGCGUUGCUCGGAAUCACUGGGCGUAAAGGGUGCGUAGGCGGGUCUUUAAGUCAGGGGUGAAAUCCUGGAGCUCAACUCCAGAACUGCCUUUGAUACUGAGGAUCUCGAGUUCGGGAGAGGUGAGUGGAACUGCGAGUGUAGAGGUGAAAUUCGUAGAUAUUCGGAAGAACACCAGUGGCGAAGGCGGCUCACUGGACGACUGUUGACGCUGAGGUACGAAAGCGUGGGGAGCAAACAGG
rnacentral:rRNA from 1 species